AUCUUUGCGCUUGGGGCAAUGACGCAGCUAAUGAGGUUCUAACCGAGGCGCGUCUAUUGCUGGUUGAAAACUAUUUCCAAACCCCCUCCUGGGCCUAAGCUUGUCUUGGGCCUUCGAGAAUUUCUGGAAGGGCUCCCUUCGGGGUAAAGCC
rnacentral:snRNA from 3 species